GGAUUCGAUCAUACUAGCACUAAAGCACCGGAUUCCAUUAGAACUCUGAAGUUAAGUGUGCUUGGGCGAGAGUAGUACUAGGAUGGGUGACCUCCUGGGAAGUCCUCAUGUUGCAUUCC
rnacentral:rRNA from 1 species